UGGGGAAUCUUGGACAAUGGGCGAAAGCCUGAUCCAGCGACGCCGCGUGACCGAUGAAGCUCUUCGGAGUGUAAAGGUCUUUCAGCGGGGAAAAUUAUGAUGGUACCCGCAGAAGCAGCUGCGGCUAACUACGUGCCAGCAGCCGCGGUAAUACGUAGGCAGCAAGCGUUGUUCGGAAUUACUGGGCGUAAAGCGAGUGUAGGCGGUCUGCCAAGUCUGCCGUGAAAUCUCCCGGCUCAACUGGGAGGGUGCGGUGGAAACUGGCAGGCUAGAGUGCGGAAGGGGAGAGUGGAAUUCCUGGUGUAGCGGUGAAAUGCGUAGAUAUCAGGAGGAACACCGGCGGUGAAGACGGCUCUCUGGACCGCUACUGACGCUGAGACUCGAAAGCGUGGGGAGCAAACAGGAUUAGAUACCCUGGUAGUCCACGCCCUAAACGAUGCAUACUUGGUGUGGGCUCUUCACUGAGUCCGUGCCGGAGCUAACGCGUUAAGUAUGCCGCCUGGGGAGUACGGUCGCAAGGCUG
rnacentral:rRNA from 1 species